UACGGGGGGGGCAAGCGUUGUUCGGAAUUACUGGGCGUAAAGGGCUCGUAGGCGGCCAACUAAGUCGGAUGUGAAAUCCCCAGGCUUAACCUGGGAACUGCAUCCGAUACUGGAUGGCUUGAAUCCGGGAGAGGGAUGCAGAAUUCCAGGUGUAGCGGUGAAAUGCGUAGAUAUCUGGAGGAACACCGGUGGCGAAGGCGCUGCUCUGGGCCGAUACUGACGCUGAGGAGCGAAAGCGUGGGGAGCGAACAGG
rnacentral:rRNA from 1 species